rnacentral:tmRNA from 1 species
GGGUAGCACCGGGUUCGAUUGCCGGUGCGCGGAAGGGUAAGCACGCAGAGGAACGAGUGGCCUCUAUAAAACAUUCGGCUUAAAUUUAAAUGCAGACAAUGCAGAUUACAGCUCGAACAACCAGUUCGCGCUUGCCGCUUAAUCAGUUUUAAGCGGUUCGUCCGUACCUCUUUCCCGUCGGGAGAAUACGGGCGUCAUUGAAGGCGGGGAACUGCCGUUUUGAAGUGAAGUCGGCAAAACGGCCGAAUUAAGAUUUCUGCUGAUGCGCGCUUUCGGUCGCAGAGGGGCGCGUCAUAAGAUAAUUGCGGCAUAAGCGUGUAGAAAGCCUUUUGGCAAUCCGGUAAGACGCGAGUUCAAUUCUCGCCUACUCCACCA